UCCAUCACUCCGGACUGGGCCAGGAGGGAGGCGCAAAGGGAUCGGCUAAACAAGAUUCUGCUGGAUCUGCUACACAGAACACCCAAUAAGAACGCCAUAGAUGUCACUUAUCUUCUAGAGGAGGGGUCAGGACGGCGAUUACGUAGACGGACACUUGGAUUUGGAGACUUUGUGGUUAGAAAAUGAUGUUGCCACUUACCUGGCAAGCACAUUCCCCUUUCAUUUACUUGGGAGAGGUGGGGGGGAAAUGGAAAGAGGGAAGACGACAUUUACAAAGAGAAGGUGACCACAAAGUGAAAAGGUUGGUCCCCUUCUCUGACCCCCCUUCGGGUGGUGUCCCCUCUUCCCCAACCUUUCAUCUCAAGUGAUGAAACAACUCAACAAAUAAACGGUUUGAAGCAUUGCACUCAGCAGUCGUGAUCAUUGAUAACGGUUUUGUAGGGGACCCAAGGACUUCUCAGGAGGGUGGACCCAGACUUAUUGAAGUACAAUGCAAAUGCAUAUUUUAUUUUUAAUUUUUUUACAUAGGAAAAUGUACCCCAUGCACUUAAAAAUGCGCAUUGAACAUAUAUUCAUCAAAGACGGCCCUGUUACUUGGGACAGAGAGACAAUUACAUAGGUGUCACAUUAUCCAUACAUGGCUCAUCAGUGCAACCUUGAGUCAAUUAUUUUUGAUGAGCAAAAUAAAGGAACAAAGUGGUACUGAACAUGGCUGUGGCAUACAGCCAUAGACUCAUAUUGACUUCGUUUUUUUAAACAACAUCAAAUGGGAAUGAGAACACUGGAGACUGGCGCCCCCUAGUGAGACUAAGUGGUGAUGACAAACUAAACGUAGGGUUAAUGUACCAGAACUAUGCUCAGAGGCUAUGCAGUGUACAGUAAGCAUACACUGUUGACGAUGAACUAGGAGAGAAGCAGCAGGAACGAGGUUGGUCAACUGCACUUUGGUACCAUGGAUAUUGUUGGCGCUCUGUAAUGUAUCAACGAGACACACUAACACAGUAUUGGAUGAUGCCGUCUGAAAAGCAAGUUAAUAAGUAUAUUAUCUUAUAUAUAUAUAUAUAUAUAUAUAGGAACAGAGAAGGAAGGACGGGAGAAUGGCUGGUGGUCUCUGGGAAGAUGGAGUGUACGCUUUUGGUCAGUCAAGUGUCUUGUUCGGUUUGUGAGGCAGUCCACUUCACCCCUCUUUCUGAAGUACCUGAUUCACCAGCUUAACUAAGUCAGGUGGCGGAACACUGGCUCUUACUGUAACGCCUUAGAACGCCGUGAUCCCUGACUGCCUUGCGUGAGUGUGUGUAUGCACAUUUGUGUGUCAGUAAUCUGCCAGAAUUCUUGAAGAAAAAAAGAAAAAAAUUAAGGGCUUGAUGGCAAUUAACAUUUUAUGGGAAAUUAUGGAAACAUAAAAUGUAUCGUGAUGGUCAUAUUUUCAUAUAUUCUGUGAGGGGUAUUUGUUGGGAGGGAGGGAAUUCUAGCUGUACAUUUUAUUCUUCAAAUGUGUUCUGGUUGCCAUGGAGAAUACUUUUAAAUAAUUUGUGUGAUUUGAUGAGAUUUCUUUUUUUCAAACGCUUCUGUUUAAAAUGGAACUUUGACCCGAAAUGUCCUAUCAAGAUGGACUGACAGAACGAGAGAGUAAAGAAACUGACAGAAAGAGGACAGAAAGUUGUACAGUGCCAAGUUAUGUAUAUACAGACUGGGAUAAUGUGAGAAGUGUCUCCAAAAGCAAUAUCUUGAUAACAGAUUUUGUGUAUUAUUGUAUUGUACAGAACUCAGACCCAUAUGUAUUAUUAUAAUGAUUGUCUGCCAUUUGUAUUACUAUAAUCGAGACACUUAAGCUUGAAGGGGAAAGAAGAGGUGUUUUUGUCCAGUAAAAUGUACCACAACUGUCCUAAUGAAUGACAUAAGAACUUCACCUGAAUUUUUUGUUCCCUAAAAAUGAAAUUCAUCUAUGUACUGCAUGAGCGAGAAGAAUGUCAAACGAACUUCA